AUUGAACGCUGGCGGCAGGCCUAACACAUGCAAGUCGAGCGAGCGGCGGACGGGUGAGUAAUGUAUGGGGACUGCCCGAUAGAGGGGGAUAACUACUGGAAACGGUGGCUAAUACCGCAUACUAUCGGAUAACCCAUAUGGGAUUAGCUAGUAGGUGGGGUAAAGGCUCACCUAGGCGACGAUCUCUAGCUGGUCUGAGAGGAUGAUCAGCCACACUGGAACGGAGACACGGCCCAGCCUCCUACGGAGGAAGCAGAGGGGAAUAUUGGACAAUGGGCGCAAGCCGGAUGCAGCCAUGCGGCGGGUAUGAAGAAGGCCUUAGGUUUGUAAAGUACUUUGAGCGGGGAGGCGGUACCCGAAGAAGAAGCACCGGCUAACUCCGUGCCAGCAGCCGCGGUAAUAC
rnacentral:rRNA from 1 species